UACAGAGGUCCCAAGCGUUGUUCGGAUUCACUGGGCGUAAAGGGUGCGUAGGCGGUCGGGUAAGUCUGACGUGAAAUCUUCGAGCCUAACUCGAAAACUGCGUCGGAUACUAUCCGGCUGGAGGAAUGGAGGGGAGACUGGAAUUCUCGGUGUAGCAGUGAAAUGCGUAGAUAUGACAUAGAACACCAAUUGCGAAGGCAGCUGGCUACACGAAUAUUGACACUGAUGCACGAAAGCGUGGGGAUCAAACAGG
rnacentral:rRNA from 1 species